rnacentral:lncRNA from 1 species
UAGCCCUGCUUUAGUCUUUGGGCUUUUACUUCAUUUCUGGAUUUUUCCUUUCCAUAUCGUUUCAGUCUUUCAACCCACCUUUUCUCUGGAUGUUUCCACACCGUUUCAGACUCUCGACCCACCUUUUCUCUGCCUGCCUCCUGCUCUCCCCAUCUCCCUCCUCGCCUCAUCUCCCAAUCUCCCAACUUAUUUUCGGUUUACACAUCUGAUAUGAAUCUCCUUGGUCUCAAAGGUCUCCUCUCCUCUGAACCCAAAAAAGCUUUCGCCUUCCGACAACGCCGGCUGCCAUAAUCUAAACAGGAACAAAUGGCCAUAACCAGAGUUUUGACUACAAAAAUUGAAUAUUCACAAAAAGGAACUGAAAAAUAGAAGCUAAAAUUCAACAAGUACUAAACUAUAUACCAUUUCAGAAUAACUUAAAUCAUAGAGAUUCUCAUCAUGUGUCCAGUCUUCCAUGUUCAAUUCCGGAAAUGAACAGCAUCCAUUAGAAUAAAGCCAUUGACCUUUCUUGAUUUUCUGACAAUUAGGGCCAGUGGCGGAUCCAGGAAUCUUACCCCAAGGGGUCGCAGUGUAAAAGUUCAAAUAAAAAUUUAGGAUGGAAAAACAUAUUGAAAAUGAAAUCAUAGUACUUUCAUUCAUAAUUCAUAAUGGAAACAAUAUUACAAACUAUAAUUGUCCACGACGAGGUUUCAUAUUUUGAAAACGAAGCAUUAUAGCUUCAUUUUCAAUACAAGCAAACAUAUCUCUCUCAAUAUAAACAAGCAAGCUAUCACUCAACCAUUGAUCUCCCAUUUUGUUUCUAAGUGGACCCUUAACAAUAUUCAUGACAGAAAAUGCUCUCUCCACUGAAGCAGUUGCAACUGGUAAAACUAAAGACAAUUUAAAGAGCAAAUAUACAUAAUUGAAUACUUGAUGCAUCCUUGUCUCCACCAUUUUUUUUUGCAAGAUCACCAAUCCCUUCCAAUUGAGAGAAAUCACUACUGGAACACACAUAAUGAAUAUAAAUCUCAAGUUGAUCUUCAAGUGCCAAACAAUCUUCAUUCAAAAAGUCUUGAGGAGAAAAUUGAGCAAGACGAAGUAACUUUGGUUUAUCAAAAGCUACAAAUGAAUCUUUCGGACUCAAACAUGCCAUACAAAUAAGCAACUUGGUAUUUACCUCAUUAAAGUGAUCCUCUAACUCCGUAAUUUGCUCAUCAAUGACAUAAAUAAAGAGCUCCACACGAUAAUGAUGACGAUUUGUCUUUAUUGGAGCAUAACGCCUUGACCUCCCUGGAAGUAUAAAUGCCUCUUCCAUGUUAGGAACAUCAAUAUGAUGUUUUUCACAAAAAGAAGAUACUUCAUCAACCAAUGCAUCGAACCCAUUAUUCCUCAUCCAAUAUAGCUUUUCCUUGCAUGAUUUCACUAAAGCCAUUGCAUUCACAAUUUCUUGAUCUUUCCUUUGCAAUGCUUGUGACAAAUCAUUUGUGAGUCCCAAUAUGACUUUCAUCAAGAAAAGGUGAAACACAAACUCAAAAGUAAGUAUCACUCUCAUUAACUUAUUUGCUUCACCCGCACUUUCAUUGGGAUUAUCAUCAAUAACCAUUUGAAGCACAUGAACCACGGAUGAAAACAUAGAAAUGAUGUUAAUCAAGGUACCAUAGUGUGAGUUCCAUCGUGUGUCACCGGCACGUUUGAGACUUGUUUCUUGAUUUAAGCCUCGCCCCGUUAUAAGACAAUCAUUUUCAAAAGCUAUCACAAGCUCUUCUUGAAGUUGCCCUCUAAGUGAAUCACGCCGCUUACAAGAUGCUCCAACAUGAUUAACCACACUAUUAGCCGUUGCAAAAAAAGAGGCAAUGUCUAUAUUCUUCUUUGCUACGGCAACAAGAGCUAGUUGAAGUUGAUGAGCAAAGCAAUGAACAUAAUAUGCACAAGGUUGUUCUCUCAAUAUCUUUGUUUUAAGGCCAUUCAACUCACCUCUCAUAUUGCUAGCACCAUCAUAACCUUGUCCUCGUAGCUUGGAAAUGCUCAAACCGUUGCGAGAAGACAAUGUGUCAAUAGCAUCCUUUAGUGAACUUGAAGUAGUGUCGGUAACAUGUUGGAUACCCACAAAUCUUUCAAUUACAUGCCCGUUGUCAUCCACAUAACGCAACACCAUAGCCAUUUGCUCUUUCACAGACACAUCACGUGCUUCAUCCAUCAAUAUUGAAAAGAAUAUAUCUUUUAGACCAUCCAUGAUAGCAUCAAGUGUUUCAAGGGCACAUGAAUUCACAAUUUCUUUUUGAAUGGAAGGAGCUAGUAAUUUGAGAUUCCCCGGAGCAUUUUCCAUCACAACUUCUCUAACUUUAUCAUUAUUAUCUGCAAGGAAUUGCAAUAACUCCAAGUAAUUUCCCCUAUUGCUUGAAGUGGCACUUUCAUCAUGGCCACGAAAAGGAAGACCUUGUCGCAAUAAAAACUUAGUGCACUUGAUUGAAGCAAUCAAGCAUGUGCGAUAAGCCUUACGAGCUUGGUCAGAGUGUUUGCUCACUACCGUUUCAAUAUGUGUAGCUUGAUUCAUCAAAUUUGUAGCAGCUUCUCUAGCCUUAUUAUGAACACUCCCAACCGGUCCAACAUGCAUCUUAAAUCUUUCUCUCCCAUUCUUCCAAUUCUUAAAUCCAUCUCCAGUGAAAGCUUCACUACCCACUUGUUCAAAAUUGGUUUUAAAGAGAUAGCAAUAGAGACAAAAUGCCGCAUCUUUAGAUACACUAUACUCCAACCAAUCAAACUCAUCAAACCAUUGGGGAAUGAAGCGUCGAUUAAUUCCCGACAUAUUAGUUAUUGGGAAAUUAUGACCUCUAGGUUGACAAGGUCCUUUUUGUAGAUAUAAUCUUCGGACCUCAUCUCUCAUAUUAGCGUCAUAAUCUAUUAUUCGAGUUCUUAAUCCAGGAUCCGCUUGAAGAUUACCCAAAACAUCAUCUAACUGACUUUGUCUUGAACUUGGAGUUCUUGAACUACCAACAGUAUUUGAACUAUCAACAUUAUUCGAACUACCCGAACCCGAUGAUGAUUUUCUCUUAAAAAACCGUUCCAUAAUAAUGCUACAUAUACAAAAUAUUCAAAAUAAAUACUCACAAUAUAAACAAACCAUAAACAUAAUCAAAAUAAAUAUGAAUUGGAUUUCAAUUAAAUUAAAUAUCUCAUCUUGCAUUCUACAUAUACAAAAUAAUGAAAAUAAAAACUCAAAAUAUAAACAAACCAUCAAUAUAAUCAAAAUAAAUAUGAAUUGAAUUUCAAUUAAAUUAAAUAUAUUCUACAUAUACAAAAUAUUCAAAAUAAAUACUCACAAUAUAAACCAUAAACAUAAUCAAAAUAAAUAUGAAUUGGAUUUCAAUUAAAUUAAAUAUCUCAUCUUGCAUUCUACAUAUACAAAAUAAUGAAAAUAAAAAAUCACAAUAUAAACAAACCAUCAAUAAAAACAAACCAAUAAAAACUCACAAUAUAAACAAACCAUCAAUAAAAACUCACAAUAAAAAACUCACAAAUAAAUAUGAAUUGAAUUUCAAUUAAUUAAAUAUAUUCUACAUAUACAAAAUAUUCAAAAUAAAUACUCAAAAUAUAAACAAAGGGAGGAGAUGGAGUUGGAGCCGCCAGCAGGGGAGCAGCAAGGGAGGAGAUGGAGUUGAGGGUUUGGGGGCAGCAGCAGCAAGGGAGGAGAGGAGUUGAGGGUUUGGGGGGAUUGAGUUAGGGUUGGAGGAUGAGAAAACAAAAGAAAUUGGGGCUUUUGAUUGUAUAGGAGUCGGGUAGGAAGGCUGGGACUGGGGGGAGGGACACGGUGGGAAUUUCUUUUUUUGUUUUUUUGUUCGGCCUGGCCCAAAACGACGCCGUUUUGGCCAGGUCAUUUAAAAAACUUUCCUGGGCCAAAACGACGCCGUUUUGCCCGUCUGUUUUGAAAAAAAAAAAAGCGCGCGCGAGCGCUGCUUCUUCUUCCUCUUCCUGCCGAGUCUUCGUUCAGGCUUUUUGUCGAACAAUUGGCGUUCGAGUCCGACCCCGACGACCCCGACGACCCCAGCUCCAAGAGGUCUCAUAUGGGAGCUUCAAGGUUGUUUCCAUGGUUUCCAAGGGGUCGUGCGACCCCGACGACCCCACUGUGGAUCCGCCACUGAUUAGGGCAUUGCAUUGCCCCCUUUAUAUUGAAGGCUGAACCAAUGCAAUCUGAAAGAAUGAAAACAAAAAUAUAACGGAACAUGAAAGCUCGGUAUCAUCCUUAGUGAAAAGGCAUAACUAAACUUAUGUCCUUAUAAGAAGUAUAUAACUAUGCCUCAGUAAACAUGCAACUCCAUUUACUGAUAUGAGAUGAUUUAAAAAUCAAAUAAUACUAUAUUCGGAAUAAUAUACCGACGACAAAUUUUAUCAAAGUAAUCUGAACAAUGAUACACUGAACCUUGACUAAAUUUAAACCUUAUAGGGUCUCAAUGCUGUACAACUUCGGAAUAAUAUAUCCGUGUUCUUGAAUUGUUCAUCGUGUCUGGCUCUGGCUCAUAUUCAUCAACUGCAUCAUAAUUGAACUCAUCUUCCACAAUCAUGUUGUGAAGAAUGACGCACGUCAUCAUGAUGGAUCGAAAUGACUCUACAUCGAACAUUCUAGCAGCACCCCUGACGAUCGCCCAACAAGCUUGAAGGAUACCAAAACAACGCUCCACAUCCUUCCUGCACCCCUCUUGACAGCUUGCAAAGUGUUUUUCCUUUGCACUUCGCAGACGUGGCACUGUUUUGACAAAUGUUUCCGACCGUGGGUAAAUGCCACAGCUAGGUAGUAUGGCCCGUCGUACCUACGUCUGUUGACGACGUACGUGACUUUUGGUGCCUUUCCUUGCAGGACGUCGUUGAACACAGGGGAUUGGGUAAGGACGUUGAGAUCAUUUUGAGCCCCCGGAACCCCGAAAAAGGCGUGCCAUAUCCAUGUAUCAAAAGAUGCCACUGCCUCCAAAAUGAUAGAUUUUGCUCCUUUUCUGUCCCUAUAUGCGCCUUGCCAUGCACUUGGACAGUUUUUCCACGUCCAGUGCAUACAAUCGAUGCUUCCUAUCAUCCUAGGAAAACCUCGCAUCUCGCCCUUCUUCAGAAGCCUUUGCAAGUCCAUGUGAGUAGGUUGUCGAAGGUACUCAGCGGUGUACAAAGAUUCGACUGCUCCGCAAAACCUCAUCAGGGCCUCAAGAAUGGUUGAUUUCCCCAUCCUCGUUAUCUCAUCCACUUGGUCUGUAGAUGCUCCAUGUGCAAGCAUCCGCAACGCAGCAGUGAUUUUUUGCUCAAGCAAAAGACCCAUAACACCACAAGCAUCCUUCUUUUGCACAAAGUAAGAAUCACGGUUGCAAACAUCAGUCAUGAUUUUGUUGAACAAAUGUCGUUCCAUUCUAAAACGUCGUCUGAAGUACGUAUCAGAAAAUGCACUGUUAUGGACAAAGUAAUCGUCCAAUAGCUCUUCACCCCGUCGUUGCUUGCUUCUAUCAAGGUUUCUUGAACGGCUGGGCCUGCAUAUCUGAGCAACAGUCUGGAUGACUCGACGGGAAUGUGAGGCUCUGGCCAUUCUUGUUUCGUCAUCUCUCCUUCUACGCUCCUCAUCCUCUUCCAUCUCAUUUUCGGCUAUCUGAAGGUUGAACAUUCCUUCAGAUUGGUUAAACAAUUCUUCCUCUUGCUGAUCGAUUUCCCACAUCAUCCUUGAUGAAGAAGAAGACAUUGUAAGGAUGGAUGGUGAAGAAGAAGCAGAAACUAUGAAUAAUGAGAUAGAGAUGUUGAGAAAAUUGGUGUGAGAUUUGUGAGGAUGGAUGGUGGAUUAUAUGGACGAUUAAGAAAGGAUCAGAUUGUAGAUGAGGCCACGUGGCAUGAUGUCAUUCGUUAAAAAUCUAAUCGAAAUCUAUCCUCAAAGAUUCUGAAAAGAUAAUGACACGUGACACGAUCGUAUUGGAUAAAAAUCUUAUCGAAAUCGAUCUCUAAUAAUUAUCUUUUCGGAUAAUGACACGUGGCACAAUUUUGAACGAGUUAAAAUAUGAUCAAAAUAUCGUCAAAGAUUCUCAAAAGAUAACGACACGUGGCACGAUGAUAUUGAAUAAAAAUCUUAUCGAACUCCAUCGCUAAAUAAUUGUUUUUUUUUUUUAUAAAAUGACACGUGGCGCAACGAGAACGAUUUAAAAAAUCUUAUCCGAAAUUACAAAUAAUUUUAUUUUGUAUUAUUUAAACAAACAAAAAAAACUAAUAUUUUAUUGCCUAUUGCAAGGGGGGAGGACUCCAAGGGUGGAGAUGCAAAUGGCAAUUACUGUUCAUUAAUGGUAGUUACUAUUUAUUAAAGGCAGUUACUGUUCAAUAUGGUGGAUUCAAUAGUGGAUUGCCAGGGGGAAGGCUCCAUGGGUGGAGUUGCUCUUAGUCUAUGGAAUUCUUCAUAAAACGUUAUGGGUAGAACAGGAUAUGGUAAAAACAUCUGAUGUCAAAUAAAAUUUGCCAAUUAUGUUCUCUGUUCAUCUUUCUUCAUGUCUGUCUCUCUAUAUACAUUUAUGUAUAGCUAUGUAUUCAUAUAUACAUGUGCAUGCAGUAUGCACACACACACUUGCCUCCUUAGACCAUCUUCAACCCCUAGGUUAAAACUUAAAAUUUAUAGCCUAGAAAAUUUAGGUUUUAGCCUAGAAACAGUUUUUCUCCUUCAACUCUUCUGAUCUAAAUUUUUUCGUCUGAGAUUAUUAAAGAAUAAAUUUAGGCUAAUUUUUUCUUUAAAAGUAAUUUUUUUUUAAAAUUAUGUAAACUGUCAUAAUUUAAUUUUAUGAACAUUUUAACCUAAAAAUAUUUAAAUUCCGAUAAAUAUUGAAAAAUCACUAAACUAGGAUGAAUUUUGAGUUAAAUAAAUUUUUUUAAUUAUUUUAGCCGUUAAAUUUAAAUUUGGGCCGUUAGAUCUUUUUUGCCUUUAAAUUUGAUUAUAUUCGAUCUCAGCUAUUAAAUUCAAUAAAUCUUGGGAGACAUGCCCAUGUUGAUGGGUCCCGCUAGUGGUGCCCACACCAUUUUCUAGGCUAAAUCCUGGGAGAUAUUUGGCUUUUGUUUGGCUUUUAGCUUUUAACUCACACAUCUAGCAUGAGUUUGGUUGGAUCUAGGAGGAAUAAAACCUAAAAAAUAGCAUUUAAUCCAGGAUUGGGUUUGGUCUUAUAGAAGAUGAGAUCUCCUCCUGAAAGUCAUGGGGAAGAAGCAGCAAAAUAAAAGAAAAUAAUUAAAAUUAUACUAAAUAUUGAAUAGGAAGCUUAUAUCUAAAUAUUGCUGACCAAAAUGAUGGAGCCUUUACUUUGGACCUAUUAAACACAGUAAAAGGUAUCAUUUUUAUUAUUUUUUUAUAGUAAGCGUGAUUCUACUAAACGGCAUUUAAUUAUAUAUUGUAGUUGGGUGUGUUGGAUUAGUAUGCGUGUUUCUCUCUAUCAAUUUGUAUUGGUUUUCUGUUUUGUUUUAAUUUAGCUAAUGGGAGUUGUUUUUGUUUCAGAUUAAUUUGGUUCAUGUUUAACUAAUCGACCAUUAAAAGCUUAGAACCAGUGGUCUUUCAAAGAUGUUGGUUGUUCAAUGUCUUCAUUUGUGUCUUUUUAGUUGUAUGAAUGGACUUCCUUUGAUAUAAAUGAAACUAAAUUGAAUAGCUUUUUUUUUGUUUCUGCAUUGUGUGUGUGUUGUGAUACUGGAUGAUUCAAUGUUUUCUAUUUGUAUAUUACAUGUAUUCAUCCAAAUUAGAUUCAUGAUAAAGUUAUAGACACGUCGACAAAACCGAAAAUCUUUCGAUUAUGAUUUUAUUAAGGGGGGCAAUAUAAUUUUUUAUUUUUUAUUUUUUACGAUUUCUAGUGUCACUUGGAGCCUUAUACUAUCCUUCCUCGCCUAGGCUGCUUCCUCAACAAUCAAUAGUACUGCAGAAAACCUUUUAGCCUUGCAGUAAACAACUUUUCUCAUAUUUUGUCAUUCUAGAUAAAACAAUACAACUUCUGCAACUUUUGGUGCGUCUGCUGCAUAUAUAUAAAAUCUUCCAUAUGUAAAAAUAUUCCUUUCUUUUUCAAUGUAAAUAGUAUUAAUCUUUUAUCUCAUAGUCCUUACAUCUUUCAAACAUAAUAUUUCUUAUAAGUUUUAAUCCCGCAGCAACGCGCAGACAUAACUUUCUAGUAUAUACUACAAGAGAAAAUUGCCUAAAACAGUGUUCAUUCUACAGUGUGAUUCCAUCUUUAGCCCUGCUUUAGUCUUUGGGCUUUUACUUCAUUUCUGGAUUUUUCCUUUCCACACCGUUUCAGUCUUUCAACCCACCUUUUCUCUGGAUGUUUCCACACCGUUUCGGACUCUCGACCCACCUUUUCUCUGCCUGCCUCCUGCUCUCCCCAUCUCCCUCCUCGCCUCAUCUCCCAAUCUCCCAACUUAUUUUCGGUUUACACAUCUGAUAUGAAUCUCCUUGGUCUCAAAGGUCUCCUCUCCUCUGAACCCAAAAAAGCUUUAGCCUUCC